rnacentral:rRNA from 1 species
GCAAGUCGAGCGAGAAGAUUUUGAAGGAGCCUUCGGGUGACUGAGAGGUUGGAAAGCGGCGGACGGGUGAGUAACGCGUGGGCAACCUGCCCCAUACAGAGGGAUAGCCACUGGAAACGGUGAUUAAUACCUCAUAAGACCACAGCAACACAUGUUGCACGGGUAAAAACUCCGGUGGUAUGGGAUGGGCCCGCGUCUGAUUAGCUAGUUGGUAGGGUAAUGGCCUACCAAGGCGACGAUCAGUAGCCGGCCUGAGAGGGGGAUC